rnacentral:rRNA from 1 species
GAUCCUGGCUCAGAAUGAACGCUUGGCGGCGUGGAUUAGGCAUGCAAGUCGAACGGUAACAGAGGAGCUUGCUCCUGCUGACGAGUGGCGAAAGGGUGAGUAACCCGUGAGCAACCUACCUUGAAGUUCGGGAUAGCCCUGGGAAACUAGGAUUAAUACCGGAUGUGGCUGUUUUACUGCAUAAUUUUAUCGCUAAAGUUUUUUCGCUUCAAGAUGGGCUCGCGUACCAUCAGCUAGUUGGUAAGGUAACGGCUUACCAAGGCUACGACGGUUAGGUGGUCUGAGAGGACGAUCACCCACACUGGGACUGAGAUACUGCCCAGACUCCUGCGGGAGGCUGCAGUCGAGAAUCUUCCGCAAUGCGCGAAAGCGUGACGGAGCAAUGCCGCGUGAAGGAUGAAGGCUUUCGGGUCGUAAACUUCUGUCAAGGGGGACGAAAUUUGACUGUACCCCUAGAGGAAGCCACGGCUAACUACGUGCCAGCAGCCGCGGUAAUACGUAGGUGGCGAGCGUUAUUCGGAUUUACUGGGCGUAAAGGGUUCGUAGGGUGUUAUGUAAGUUUGAUGUGAAAUCCAAGGGCUCAACCCUUGAACUGCAUUGGAAACUGCAUAACUGGAGUUCUGGAGAGGUAAGUGGAAUUUGUGGUGUAGCGGUGGAAUGCGUAGAUAUCACAAGGAACAUCAAUGGCGAAGGCAACUUACUGGACAGAUACUGACCCUGAGGAACGAAGGCUAGGGUAGCGAAAAGGAUUAGAUACCCUUGUAGUCCUAGCUGUAAACGUUGUACACUCGUGUCGGGGGAUUUAGCCCCCUCGGUGUCCAAGCUAACGCGAUAAGUGUACCGCCUGGGGAGUACGGCCGCAAGGCUAAAACUCAAAGGAAUUGACGGGGGCCCGCACAAGCGGUGGAGCAUGUGGCUUAAUUCGAGGCAACGCGAAGAACCUUACCUGGACUUGACAUAUUUCUGACCGCCAUGGAAACAUGGUUUCUCUUCGGAGCAGAUAUACAGGUGCUGCAUGGCUGUCGUCAGCUCGUGCCGUGAGGUGUUCGGUUAAGUCCGGCAACGAGCGCAACCCAUGCUGUUAGUUACCAGCGAGUAAUGUCGGGAACUCUAGCAGGACUGCCCGUGCUAAGCGGGAGGAAGGCGUGGACGACGUCAAGUCCGUAUGGCUCUUACACCCAGGGCUGCACACGUGCUACAAUGGCCGGUACAAUGGGUCGCCACUCCGCGAGGAGGCGCUAAUCCCCAAAACCGGCCCCAGUUCGGAUUGUAGUCUGCAACUCGACUACAUGAAGUCGGAAUCGCUAGUAAAGGCGUAUCAGCAACGGCGCCUUGAAUACGUUCCCGGGCCUUGUACACACCGCCCGUCACAUCAUGGAAGCCUGUUGCACCCGAAGUCGCUGACCGAACCCGCAAGGGACGGAGGUGCCGAAGGUGUGGCUGGUAACUGGGAUGAAGUCGUA